rnacentral:rRNA from 1 species
AGCGAACGCUGGCGGCAGGCCUAACACAUGCAAGUCGAACGGACCCUUCGGGGUUAGUGGCGGACGGGUGAGUAACACGUGGGAACGUGCCUUUAGGUUCGGAAUAGCUCCUGGAAACGGGUGGUAAUGCCGAAUGUGCCCUUCGGGGGAAAGAUUUAUCGCCUUUAGAGCGGCCCGCGUCUGAUUAGCUAGUUGGUGAGGUAAUGGCUCACCAAGGCGACGAUCAGUAGCUGGUCUGAGAGGAUGACCAGCCACAUUGGGACUGAGACACGGCCCAAACUCCUACGGGAGGCAGCAGUGGGGAAUCUUGCGCAAUGGGCGAAAGCCUGACGCAGCCAUGCCGCGUGGACGAUGAAGGUCUUAGGAUUGUAAAAUCCUUUCACCGGUGAAGAUAAUGACUGUAGCCGGAGAAGAAGCCCCGGCUAACUUCGUGCCAGCCGCCGCGGUAACAC